UGUGGUUAAAGUUAGGGAUAAGGUUAGCAGUGUGGUUAUAGUUAGGGAUAAGGUUAGCAGUGUGGUUAUAGUUAGGGAUAAGGUUAGCAGUGUGGUUAUAGUUAGGGAUAAGGUUAGCAGUGUGGUUAUAGUUAGGGAUAAGGUUAGCAGUGUGGUUAUAGUUAGGGAUAAGGUUAGCAGUGUGGUUAAAGUUAGGGAUAAGGUUAGCAGUGUGGUUAAAGUUAGGGAUAAGGUUAGCAGUGUGGUUAUAGUUAGGGAUAAGGUUAGCAGUGUGGUUAUAGUUAGGGAUAAGGUUAGCAGUGUGGUUAUAGUUAGGGAUAAGGUUAGCAGUGUGGUUAUAGUUAGGGGUAAGGUUAGCAGUGUGGUUAUAGUUAGGGAUAAGGUUAGCAGUGUGGUUAUAGUUAGGGAUAAGGUUAGCAGUGUGGUUAUAGUUAGGGGUAAGGUUAGCAGUGUGGUUAUAGUUAGGGAUAAGGUUAGCAGUGUGGUUAUAGUUAGGGGUAAGGUUAGCAGUGUGGUUAUAGUUAGGGGUAAGGUUAGCAGUGUGGUUAUAGUUAGGGAUAAGGUUAGCAGUGUGGUUAUAGUUAGGGAUAAGGUUAGCAGUGUGGUUAUAGUUAGGGAUAAGGUUAGCAGUGUGGUUAUAGUUAGGGGUAAGGUUAGCAGUGUGGUUAUAGUUAGGGAUAAGGUUAGCAGUGUGGUUAAAGUUAGGGAUAAGGUUAGCAGUGUGGUUAUAGUUAGGGGUAAGGUUAGCAGUGUGGUUAUAGUUAGGGAUAAGGUUAGCAGUGUGGUUAUAGUUAGGGAUAAGGUUAGCAGUGUGGUUAUAGUUAGGGGUAAGGUUAGCAGUGUGGUUAUAGUUAGGGAUAAGGUUAGCAGUGUGGUUAUAGUUAGG